rnacentral:lncRNA from 1 species
UUUUCAGGAGAACGGUUCAAAUCGUAAACCGACCGGUUUUGGCCGGUUUUUCCGGUUCUUGACCGGUUCAUACCGGUUUUGACCAGUUUUAUUACAUCCGGUUUUGGAGAUAAAUCUGACCGCUUGCAUGACCAGUUCUCGGCUCAACCGUUCGGACCGGCGUGUUUGCUCCGAUUUAGAUAACCAUGGUAAAUACCCAAAGAUUAAGAGAACCCAAUCAAUGCCACCAAAAGAAAAAAAAAAUCAAGACUAAAAAAUACCAAUAGCAUAACCUUAGGAUCAAAUGCAAGGUAAGUAUGGUAGUGUUUAUG